rnacentral:siRNA from 1 species
GACGCGGAUUACGGUGGCGGCC